CAUGAAGUUGGAAUCGCUAGUAAUCGCGGAUCAGCAUGCCGCGGUGAAUACGUUCCCGGGCCUUGUACACACCGCCCGUCACACCAUGAGAGUCGGGAACACCCGAAGUCCGUAGCCUGACCGCGAAGGGGGGGCGGCCGGCCGAAGGUGGGUUCGAUAAUUGGGGUGAAGUCGUAACAAGGUAAC
rnacentral:rRNA from 1 species